AACGAACGCUGGCGGCAUGCCUAACACAUGCAAGUCGAACGAGACCUUCGGGUCUAGUGGCGCACGGGUGCGUAACGCGUGGGAACCUGCCCUUAGGUUCGGAAUAACUCCCCGAAAGGGGUGCUAAUACCGGAUAAUGUCUUCGGACCAAAGAUUUAUCGCCUUUGGAUGGGCCCGCGUUGUAUUAGCUAGUUGGUAGGGUAAAAGCCUACCAAGGCGACGAUCCAUAGCUGGUCUGAGAGGAUGCUCAGCCACACUGGGACUGAGACACGGCCCAGACUCCUACGGGAGGCAGCAGUGGGGAAUAUUGGACAAUGGGCGAAAGCCUGAUCCAGCAAUGCCGCGUGAGUGAUGAAGGCCUUAGGGUUGUAAAGCUCUUUUACACGGGAUGAUAAUGACAGUACCGGGAGAAUAAGCUCCGGCUAACUCCGUG
rnacentral:rRNA from 1 species